CCAGGGGGUAACUAACCAGAGAUGGUUGGAAUAUUCUAGAAGAAAUAAGAAGAUUCGAGAAGGAAGCCAAGCAGUUAUCCAUCUAUGCAAUCCGUUAAUGGAAUGACAGCAGAGAGCUCAUGGGAAGAGAGAGAUGCAGNNNAAGUGGGAGGCAUGCUUUGUAAUUUUCUUUCCAUUUAUUUGUCAGCUAGGAAUUGCUUGGGGGGCAGAAGGGAAUUCCUGCGCGGAAGAAGUUUCUCCUGGUAUUAUAAUUAGUUUUUUUCCCUAUUUUCUUUGUUACAGUGCUUCUUUACUUUAAGUGUACUCCAUAAUUUCUAUCAAU
rnacentral:misc_RNA from 1 species